UAAGGAACGCUUUUGAUACUAUUAGUUGGGACUACAUUAUUUAUAUCUUGUAGGCUAAAGGCUUUAAACAAGAUUUCUGUUCUCUCAUUCAGAGGUGGCUAACAAUUAUAGUGUGAUGAUUUAUGGUCCUGCACACUAUUUUCCGAGCUUGUAGUUGCGGCUAUUCUAUAUCAUUGCAGCUCCCUCACUGUUUGCAGAAGAAUAUAUAUGUGCAGCUCCCUUACUGUUUGUAGAAGAAGAAGGAUUUUGAAAAGACGGGAAGUCUCCCUUAUAUUAACGGACGUGGCACCCUAAAUCACUAAAGGAAGUAGAAGCUCACUAGCCAAUGGUUAUAGUUGUAGUGCUGACAAUGUGAGCACUCUUGGCAUACUGGCAUCGAUUCCAGAUUUGAUACCGACACUGACACCACCAUCACCAUCAGCCGUGAAUUUCACACUAGCACCACCAUCAAAUCUGACUACCACACCGACACCACCAUUAGUUGUGAAUUCAAAAAUAACAUUGCCACAAGCUGCUCUGAUCGCACUGGUAUCGUCACUCUUGAUACUGAUGCAUCAUCCAAAUUAAGCACCACCUACAACAUUUUUCAACUUUGGGAUGUGGGAAGGAGGUUCCAAUCCCAGUUCAAGAAAUGUGGUUUGAAGAGUUCAAGAAAUAAUGAUAUUGGCCUCCUGAGAAGGAGGAGGUCCACAUCAAAAAAAUCUUUGAGUGCAAGGAGAACUUUUAGAGGAUGAAUGUGAGUCGGUUGCAACAGCUGAGUGGUAUUACAAUCAUAGAUCAUAGUAUGUCCAACUAUGACCUGUGAAGGGGGUUAGCUGGUGGAAAGAAAAAGGGCCAAGUUUAUGGUUUAGGGUCUUAGGCAUCGACCUACAAUGUCUGUCCCUCCAACUCAUCUGGUGCAUCAACAUCUACUGCCUAGAAGGAGGAGCUUCAUGGGUAGGUGGACAUGUUGACUUCUAAUAUUAAUGCCAGACUUGUUGCUAAGCUUGUUUCACAGAUCUCAACUUAGCUAAACCAAAUAAGAUCAGACAUAGAGUUGAAGAUGAAGAUGGAUUUUGAUCCAAUAUUGUGGCAUGCUCGAUGGAGAGAAAAGUGGCCAAAUGAGGAGCUACCAGAUGAGGAAUGACCAUAUGAAGAUGAUUCAAAUGAGGAAGAUGAUGAGAGGAAAUAUAAUGAGUAGAUACAUAUUUUUUCAUGUUUGUUUAUUGAUAACAAUUAUUUCAAGCGAACAUCAUUUUUUA